rnacentral:rRNA from 1 species
GGCCAGGCUGUCUCCACCCGAGACUCAGUGAAAUUGAACUCGCUGUGAAGAUGCAGUGUACCCGCGGCAAGACGGAAAGACCCCGUGAACCUUUACUAUAGCUUGACACUGAACAUUGAGCCUUGAUGUGUAGGAUAGGUGGGAGGCUUUGAAGUGUGGACGCCAGUCUGCAUGGAGCCGACCUUGAAAUACCACCCUUUAAUGUUUGAUGUUCUAACGUUGACCCGUAAUCCGGGUUGCGGACAGUGUCUGGUGGGUAGUUUGACUGGGGCGGUCUCCUCCUAAAGAGUAACGGAGGAGCACGAAGGUUGGCUAAUCCUGGUCGGACAUCAGGAGGUUAGUGCAAUGGCAUAAGCCAGCUUGACUGCGAGCGUGACGGCGCGAGCAGGUGCGAAAGCAGGUCAUAGUGAUCCGGUGGUUCUGAAUGGAAGGGCCAUCGCUCAACGGAUAAAAGGUACUCCGGGGAUAACAGGCUGAUACCGCCCAAGAGUUCAUAUCGACGGCGGUGUUUGGCACCUCGAUGUCGGCUCAUCACAUCCUGGGGCUGAAGUAGGUCCCAAGGGUAUGGCUGUUCGCCAUUUAAAGUGGUACGCGAGCUGGGUUUAGAACGUCGUGAGACAGUUCGGUCCCUAUCUGCCGUGGGCGCUGGAGAACUGAGGGGGGCUGCUCCUAGUACGAGAGGACCGGAGUGGACGCAUCACUGGUGUUCGGGUUGUCAUGCCAAUGGCACUGCCCGGUAGCUAAAUGCGGAAGAGAUAAGUGCUGAAAGCAUCUAAGCACGAAACUUGCCCCGAGAUGAGUUCUCCCUGACUCCUUGAGAGUCCUGAAGGAACGUUGAAGACGACGACGUUGAUAGGCCGGGUGUGUAAGCGCAGCGAUGCGUUGAGCUAACCGGUACUAAUGAACCGUGAGG